rnacentral:lncRNA from 1 species
GCGUAAAGAUAGUAUAAUACUUUAUUACAUCAUCUGAAACAUUGUAUCUUUAACAAGUAUCACAUCAAAGUAAAGCGGAAAUAAAUAACAGGGGCAAUCUCCCACAGGAAGAUGACCGGCGCAUCGUUAGACUUAGAAUUCAUCGUCGUCGAUAAAAUCUCCAUCAAAGUCUCCAGCAUCACCCUCUGAUCAAAAUUAAGCAAGGGUGAGCUCACUUAUGGUCGGGGCUCAGCAAGUGGGGGAAAAACUAAUGCAGGUAUAACAAGGUGAGGCUAAGUUUGAGCAGUAAGCAUUUUAGUUGGUCAACAUUUUAUUAACAUCACCUGUCUUACUAAUACGUGUGAAUCCCAAAUAUCCCAUUUAAACAAAGGAAUAUGAAUAUAACAAAAACACUUAAGUGAAACCACUUAAGCAAAUUAUUGGCAGAUCAUCGGAUCUCAAUUUAAUUCCAUCUUCAAGUUCAAUUAUCAUGUGAGGAGUCCAGGUCGCUCAUAACCGGGAGCACGGCUGAUAUAUCAGUUUUACACUCUGCAGAGGUGGUACAACUUUACCCACAAGCCAUGUAUCCCAUCUAGCCCGGGUUGAUCGGACCCUUAGACACUGCCGAGGUGAAUGGCUAGGGAUCCAUUAUGAGGUUUUCACAAAAUACCUUAAUACGAAGCAACCCGCUAAGGUUUCUAAGACGAUGGUGGUGGCCCCCUGGGUGAAGUACCUUAGCCAAGAAUACGACCCCAUGUUAACGUGGGCUGCCAGCACCUACCGCUCCCCCUCUUGCCCAUCUUUCAGGUAAGGUUGCUAGGCACUAAGCAUAUAGAGCUAUUUACCAAAGCCAGAGCCAUGAUAGCACUCGUGGUUGCACUGUUAUCCUGGGUGGUCACUCCAUGUUCCAAUUAAAUUUGUAAUAAAGUUAUCUUAACCAUCGGGUUAAUGCCAUAUUUGCCAAUUAAAUCUUUGGAACAUUAAAACCAAUUAAUGAGUGACAUUAAGAAAUCAUUAAGUUGAGCGGUAGCAUAAAUCUUGCACAGCUUAAUUAUUUCCCCAGGUUAAACAAGGAAUACAGGUAGUAAAUCUAGGAAAUCCUUAAUUAGGCUAUCCCAUCAAAUUAUGCAAUAUAUCAAAAAGUAAACAUUAUUAUAUGCAAUGAAUAGGUACAAACAGAAUAUGCAGAGGGAGAAUCCACUUGCCUUGCACAAAAUCGUCCUGCGUGUCGUCUUCAAACGUAUUUGGGUCCUCUACCACACAAUCAGUUUCUAAUAGCGUCGCACAUCGUACAUACAAAAGAAAACAUUCACCAAUAAAUAAACAUACACCAUUACAUAGGUGAAGCAUACAUCAUACAAUAAAACAUACAUUUAAACAAAUCACAUUUAUAAGAAGGAAUGCAAAACAUGAUUUGUAUCUACCCUAUAAAUCUUAACCAUAUCAACGAUCAAUUUAUUUGCUAUGACUAACUACUUUGUUUCAUUAUCUUACUAGAAAACUUGUAUGACAAUUCGACUAUGGAUAUGCAUACUAUAUAAAUUCAUUUAAAAUCAUAGAUACAACUUUAACCCAAAUUCUAGGGAAUCUAGUUUAUUUACUAAAUAAUUAUCUCUAUCGUAAAACACGGGUCACAUUCUAGUUUUAGUCUUUCUUUCUAAAAGGAAAUUAUAUCAAUUGUUAAAAUAUUAUUUAUAAAUCACAAAACCAUAGUAUUAAAGAACUAAAUUAAACUACAAAUUUUAUCUCUACUAUUUAGAUUACGUUGGACUAUAUUGUUUCAACGUCAAUAAAAUAUUUACUAUUUCUUAGCGAAUAACCAAUAUAAUUAUAUUGCGCAUGAGCGUGCGAGUCUUGUCUAUAAGUCAGAAUCAUAAUGUAAGCAACGGCGCAUACUUAUUUAUCUAGCGCUUUUUGUUACUAAUAUGUAGUCUACCUAUUCCUUAGUCCUUUACUCCAACAAACCAUAAUUAAAUUAAUUCUCAAUGGGUAUAACCAAAUUAAAAUGCACAAACUCGAAAGACAGCAGAGACACUAACUAAAAUAUCUUAUCACAUACACAUGAAGUUAAUCGUUCCACAUACACAUGAUUUGGAUUCCAAUAUAUACAAAUUUAAAAAUAAUGAAUCGCUGCAGGGGUUAGAUAUCUUAUUCAACUUAUACUUCAGGGGGUAGACUAGAAGAUCGCCUUCUUCUACCACUGGAAUGCACAUACCAGAGAAGCAGGGAGCCACGACCGUGGGGCUUUGGGCACGAAGAAGGGACAACCAGACGGCUUUGGCGCGUGACACGGCACAGCACGAGCACGAAGGCCCAGGGGAGGCAGGGACGGCCUCGGGUCGUCGAACGGAGCAGGGGAUGACGUCGAGGCGGCCACGGGCGUCACGACGAGCUGCUUGCCGGCGACAAAGAACAGAGGCGGCGACGAGCAGAGGACCGGCAGGGGUCAGCCGCGGUCGAGUUCGUCGGGCAGGGCUCGGCCAAGGCAGCAGAGGAGGUCGCCGACGCGGGGAAAGGUCGACGGCGCUCAAGGGGAGGACGGGGAACGACGUCGAGGUCUCCGGCGGUGUUGAGCUUCACUGCGGCGAGCUCCACAACGACGAUGGACGACCAACAGAGGAAUGAAA